UGAGUAACACGUGGGUAACCUGCCUGUAAGACUGGGAUAACUCCGGGAAACCGGGGCUAAUACCGGAUGGUUGUCUGAACCGCAUGGUUCAGACAUAAAAGGUGGCUUCGGCUACCACUUACAGAUGGACCCGCGGCGCAUUAGCUAGUUGGUGAGGUAACGGCUCACCAAGGCGACGAUGCGUAGCCGACCUGAGAGGGUGAUCGGCCACACUGGGACUGAGACACGGCCCAGACUCCUACGGGAGGCAGCAGUAGGGAAUCUUCCGCAAUGGACGAAAGUCUGACGGAGCAACGCCGCGUGAGUGAUGAAGGUUUUCGGAUCGUAAAGCUCUGUUGUUAGGGAAGAACAAGUGCCGUUCAAAUAGGGCGGCACCUUGACGGUACCUAACCAGAAAGCCACGGCUAACUACGUGCCAGCAGCCGCGGUAAUACGUAGGUGGCAAGCGUUGUCCGGAAUUAUUGGGCGUAAAGGGCUCGCAGGCGGUUUCUUAAGUCUGAUGUGAAAGCCCCCGGCUCAACCGGGGAGGGUCAUUGGAAACUGGGGAACUUGAGUGCAGAAGAGGAGAGUGGAAUUCCACGUGUAGCGGUGAAAUGCGUAGAGAUGUGGAGGAACACCAGUGGCGAAGGCGACUCUCUGGUCUGUAACUGACGCUGAGGAGCGAAAGCGUGGGGAGCGAACAGGAUUAGAUACCCUGGUAGUCCACGCCGUAAACGAUGAGUGCUAAGUGUUAGGGGGUUUCCGCCCCUUAGUGCUGCAGCUAACGCAUUAAGCACUCCGCCUGGGGAGUACGGUCGCAAGACUGAAACUCAAAGGAAUUGACG
rnacentral:rRNA from 1 species